rnacentral:rRNA from 1 species
UGAGUGGCGGACGGGUGAGUAACGCGUGGGCAACCUGGCCUGGUACAGGGGGAUAACACUUAGAAUAGGUGCUAAUACCGCAUAACGGGAGAAGCCGCAUGGCUUUUUCCUGAAAACUCCGGUGGUACAGGAUGGGCCCGCGUCUGAUUAGCCAGUUGGCAGGGUAACGGCCUACCAAAGCGACGAUCAGUAGCCGGCCUGAGAGGGCGGACGGCCACACUGGGACUGAGACACGGCCCAGACUCCUACGGGAGGCAGCAG